rnacentral:rRNA from 1 species
GACGAUUGCUGGCGGCGUGCUUAACACAUGCAAGUCGAACGGUAAGGCUCCAGCUUGCUGGGGUACACGAGUGGCGAACGGGUGAGUAACACGUGGGUGACCUGCCCUGCACUUCGGGAUAAGCCUGGGAAACUGGGUCUAAUACCGGAUAGGACCGCACCGUGAGGGUGUGGUGGAAAGUUUUUUCGGUGUGGGAUGGGCCCGCGGCCUAUCAGCUUGUUGGUGGGGUAAUGGCCUACCAAGGCGGCGACGGGUAGCCGGCCUGAGAGGGUGGACGGCCACAUUGGGACUGAGACACGGCCCAGACUCCUACGGGAGGCAGCAGUGGGGAAUAUUGCACAAUGGGCGGAAGCCUGAUGCAGCGACGCCGCGUGGGGGAUGACGGCCUUCGGGUUGUAAACUCCUUUCACCAUCGACGAAGGGUUUCUGACGGUAGAUGGAGAAGAAGCACCGGCUAACUACGUGCCAGCAGCCGCGGUAAUACGUAGGGUGCGAGCGUUGUCCGGAAUUACUGGGCGUAAAGAGCUCGUAGGUGGUUUGUCGCGUCGUCUGUGAAAUUCCGGGGCUUAACUCCGGGCGUGCAGGCGAUACGGGCAUAACUUGAGUACUGUAGGGGAGACUGGAAUUCCUGGUGUAGCGGUGAAAUGCGCAGAUAUCAGGAGGAACACCGGUGGCGAAGGCGGGUCUCUGGGCAGUAACUGACGCUGAGGAGCGAAAGCAUGGGGAGCGAACAGGAUUAGAUACCCUGGUAGUCCAUGCCGUAAACGGUGGGCGCUAGGUGUGGGUUUCCUUCCACGGGAUCCGUGCCGUAGCUAACGCAUUAAGCGCCCCGCCUGGGGAGUACGGCCGCAAGGCUAAAACUCAAAGGAAUUGACGGGGGCCCGCACAAGCGGCGGAGCAUGUGGAUUAAUUCGAUGCAACGCGAAGAACCUUACCUGGGCUUGACAUAUACAGGAUCGCGCCAGAGAUGGUGUUUCCCUUGUGGCUUGUAUACAGGUGGUGCAUGGUUGUCGUCAGCUCGUGUCGUGAGAUGUUGGGUUAAGUCCCGCAACGAGCGCAACCCUUGUCUUAUGUUGCCAGCACGUUGUGGUGGGGACUCGUAAGAAACUGCCGGGGUUAACUCGGAGGAAGGUGGGGAUGACGUCAAAUCAUCAUGCCCCUUAUGUCCAGGGCUUCACACAUGCUACAAUGGUCGGUACAGUGGGUUGCCAGUCCGUGAGGGCGAGCUAAUCCCGCAAAGCCGGUCUCAGUUCGGAUCGGGGUCUGCAACUCGACCCCGUGAAGUCGGAGUCGCUAGUAAUCGCAGAUCAGCAACGCUGCGGUGAAUACGUUCCCGGGCCU